UACGUAGGUGGCAAGCGUUGUCCGGAGUUAUUGGGCGUAAAGCGCGCGCAGGCGGUUGGAUAAGUCCAUGGUGAAAGCGCCUGGCUCAACUAGGCGAGUGCCGUGGGGACUGUUCAGCUGGAGUGGAGCAGAGGCGAGUGGAAUUCCGGGUGUAGUGGUGAAAUGCGUAGAGAUCGGAAGGAACACCAGUGGCGAAGGCGACUGUCUGGACAGAUACUGACGCUGAGGCGCGAAAGCGUGGGGAGCAAACAGG
rnacentral:rRNA from 1 species